rnacentral:rRNA from 1 species
UUUGACCUACGGGACGCAGCAGUGAGGAAUAUUGGUCAAUGGGCGCGAGCCUGAACCAGCCAAGUCGCGUGAGGGAAGACGGUCCUAUGGAUUGUAAACCUCUUUUGUCGGGGAGCAAAAGACGCCACGCGUGGCGUUCCGAGAGUACCCGAAGAAAAAGCAUCGGCUCACUCCGUGCCAGCAGCCGCGGUAAUACGGAGGAUGCGUGCGCUAUCCGGAUUUAUUGGGUUUAAAGGGUGCGCAGGCGGACGAUCAAGUCAGCGGUAAAAUUGACAGGCUCAACCUCUUCGAGCCGCUGAAACUGG